rnacentral:lncRNA from 1 species
GCCCUGGAGCCCCGGCUGCCCUCGGGGCUGCUGCCGGCCUCUGGCAGCCGUGCCCUUGGGCUGAGUCAGGAUGCGGCAAGGGCUGGGGCUGAGCCCUGCCGGGGCGGGAGGCCGUGUGGCCCCAGGGCUGGCAGCGCCGCUGGCAGGGAGCUGUGCCGCCGGGGCCCUGACAGGCUCUGUGUUCCCAGGGAUUGCCGGGCGGCUCCUGAGGGGGCAGAAGGAAGAGCUGCAGCUACUUUACCAGUCCCUUGAGAAAAUGGUGGAUGACAGCAGCCCUGUCAUCGGAAACCUGGCAGUUCAAACACAGUACAUCGUCGAGGCAAUAGAAAGGCCUCGCUAUUCCAUCUUUGACAACCUGCAAGUUCAGUUGCGCAGGGCAUGGAGGACACGGCCUCGUCUGCCGGGCCUCCGCUGGCUGCGCUGCUGGAGCUCUCCUGGCAACUGAUCCGGCAGGCUCUGUCUGCUGGGCCCACCUGAGAGAGCAGCGGUUUUCCUUUUCCGUAGCAUUGUUCCUUUCUUCUUUUUGUUUUCUUUUUGUAUGUAAAUAUAGUAUAUGUUAUAAUAGGCAGUCUCCCAAGACCUUUCUUUUGCUGCCCAUGGUGCACAGGGCAUAGGGAAAGAGGGUGAAAAGGGUGCUUGUGCUCGGCAAGCUGCCCAGGUGUGCAGUGGUGCAGGGAAAGUGGCCAGAAACCCCUUGGCCUGUGGUGGUUCUGCUGAAGCCACAACCUCUGUCCCAGCCAGGAAGCGCCAUCUGUGUCCUCGUGCCCGUGUGGUGCUGGCUGCGUUGCUGAGGGCUUCCAGGUGCCUCUUGAUCCGGCUCCUCUGGAGCUCCUGUGGGGCUGCGGCGCUGCUGCCGGGCCACGCUGGGGGAGCCCCUGAGGGAACAGGGCACUAGGAGGCUGUAAUUGGAUGAGGGAGCGUGGAGGCCCCAACAGGACAAGGCCAUGGGAAGGCAUGAGGGGGAUGUGUGGAGGCUGGAGGCUCCAAGGGGACAGGAGUCCCCUGAGGGGCCGGGGUGGUGGGAAGACCUGAGGAACUGGGUGUCAGAGGCCAUAAGCAGCCCCUGGGCAGCCGCCUUGUUCCUGACACCCGGCUGAUCUGGCGCUUCCCCAAAAUGUCUCCCAGGCCUGCAGCAGAAGGCCUCGAGGCUGGGACACCACCCCUCCAGGAGGGUGGGGAUAGCCUGAGGUGCCCAGGCUGGGCUGGCUGGGGACAUGCAGGGCAGGGGGGUGCUGCCAGGCCACGGCCACUGGGUGCCU